rnacentral:rRNA from 1 species
GAUGAACGCUGGCGGCGUGCUUAACACAUGCAAGUCGAACGAAGCACUUUAUUUGAUUUCCUUCGGGACUGAUUAUUUUGUGACUGAGUGGCGGACGGGUGAGUAACGCGUGGGUAACCUGCCUUGUACAGGGGGAUAACAGUUGGAAACGGCUGCUAAUACCGCAUAAGCGCACAGCAUCGCAUGAUGCAGUGUGAAAAACUCCGGUGGUAUAAGAUGGACCCGCGUUGGAUUAGCUAGUUGGUGAGGUAACGGCCCACCAAGGCGACGAUCCAUAGCCGACCUGAGAGGGUGACCGGCCACAUUGGGACUGAGACACGGCCCAAAAUCCUGCGGGAGGCAGCAGUGGGGAAUAUUGCACAAUGGGCGAAAGCCUGAUGCAGCGACGCCGCGUGAGCGAAGAAGUAUUUCGGUAUGUAAAGCUCUAUCAGCAGGGAAGAUAAUGACGGUACCUGACGAAGAAGCACCGGCUAAAUACGUG